rnacentral:misc_RNA from 1 species
UUAAAAUGUUUUCAUCAUUGCUCCCUAAAGCUAUUAAGGAAUAAUAUUAGGUCACCUAUUAUCUAUGAUGCCCAAUUAAACGAUCUUCCCUUUUAAAGAGUCGAUAAAUUUUCAUUAGCUAUCCUACAGAUUAUACACAAUUAGCUAAUGAAUCAAAAUCUAUUUGAAAAGGCACUUAUAUCAUGAAGGUCCCAAGCCUCGGAAUAGGUAUGUUUUCAUAGCUUGUAUUAUUGCUCAGCAGAUAAAGGUAAGAAAGGACCUUGGAAAUAGUUAAUGCAGGG